rnacentral:rRNA from 1 species
GCAAGUCGAGCGGAAACGAAAUCUUCGGAUGGGCGUCGAGCGGCGGACGGGUGAGUAAUGCCUAGGAAUCUGCCCUUUUGUGGAGGAUAACCCGGGGAAACUCGGGCUAAUACUGCAUAAUCUCUACGGAGCAAAGCGGGGGAUCUUUUGACCUCGCGCAGAAGGAUGAGCCUAGGUCUGAUUAGCUUGUUGGUGGGGUAACGGCCUACCAAGGCGACGAUCAGUAGCUGGUCUGAGAGGAUGAUC